rnacentral:lncRNA from 1 species
AGCCAGCAGUGAUUUCCCUCCAAGGAGUAGAAAAGGUAUCCAAGAUAGUAGAUGUAUUGAAAAAUACUACACAUAAUGGUUUCCCGGUGAUGGAUGAUGGGGUAGUGCCACCAGUAGGACAGGUCAAUGGGGCAACGGAACUGCAUGGACUAAUUUUAAGAGCUCACCUUAUCCAAGCAUUAAAGAAGAGGUUCUUCUUGAAAGAGAGAAGAAGAACAGAGGAAUGGGAAGUGAGAGAGAAAUUUACCUGGGUAGAGCUGGCCGAGAGAGAAGGGAAAAUUGAAGAGGUGGCUAUAACAAGGGAAGAAAUGGAGAUGUUUGUUGAUCUACAUCCUCUCACCAAUACAACUCCAUUUACUGUGCUAGAGAGCAUAUCAGUUGCAAAGGCAAUGAUCCUCUUCAGGCAAGUUGGACUUCGUCAUCUGCUUGUAGUUCCGAAAUAUCAGGCAUCAGGGGUAAGUAUUUUUAACAUACUAGUAAAUAUCAUUACUAUUCAAACAUGAAUUAGAUAUUUUUAUAUUUUUUCUAGUAGCAUAUCAGGUGCAACAUAAAACUCAUGGCUAAUAUUUAAUUAUUCAAAAUGAUCAUACGUGACUAACCAAAUCAUGUGAUCUCACAGGUAUGCCCUGUAAUCGGGAUAUUGACCAGACAGGAUCUACUGGCCUACAACAUUCUGACGGUCUUUCCUCACCUGGCAAAAUCUAAGAACAGACAGAAGAGAAAUUGAAGAUUUCCUAGUCAUGGAAU